UACGUAGGGUGCGAGCGUUAAUCGGAAUUACUGGGCGUAAAGCGUGCGCAGGCGGUUUUGUAAGCCAGAUGUGAAAUCCCCGGGCUCAACCUGGGAAUGGCAUUUGGGACUGCAAGGCUGGAGUGCGGCAGAGGAGACUGGAAUUCCUGGUGUAGCAGUGAAAUGCGUAGAUAUCGAGGAGGAAUACCGAUGGCGAAGGCAGGUCUCUGGGCUGACACUGACGCUCAUGCACGAAAGCGUGGGAGCAACAGG
rnacentral:rRNA from 1 species